ACGAGUGGCGGACGGGUGAGUAACACGUAGGUAACCUGCCCAGAAGCGGGGGACAACACUUGGAAACAGGUGCUAAUACCGCAUAACAAUUCAAAUCGCAUGAUUUGAAUUUGAAAGAUGGUUUCGGCUAUCACUUCUGGAUGGACCUGCGGCGCAUUAGCUUGUUGGUGGGGUAACGGCCUACCAAGGCAGUGAUGCGUAGCCGAGUUGAGAGACUGAUCGGCCACAAUGGGACUGAGACACGGCCCAUACUCCUACGGGAGGCAGCAGUAGGGAAUCUUCCACAAUGGGCGCAAGCCUGAUGGAGCAACACCGCGUGAGUGAAGAAGGUUUUCGGAUCGUAAAGCUCUGUUGUUGAAGAAGAACGUGCAUGAGAGUAACUGUUCAUGCAGUGACGGUAUUCAACCAGAAAGUCACGGCUAACUACGUGCCAGCAGCCGCGGUAAUACGUAGGUGGCAAGCGUUAUCCGGAUUUAUUGGGCGUAAAGAGAGUGCAGGCGGUUUCUUAAGUCUGAUGUGAAAGCCUUCGGCUCAACCGAAGAAGUGCAUCGGAAACUGGGAAACUUGAGUACAGAAGAGGGCAGUGGAACUCCAUGUGUAGCGGUGGAAUGCGUAGAUAUAUGGAAGAACACCAGUGGCGAAGGCGGCUGCCUGGUCUGUAACUGACGCUGAGACUCGAAAGCAUGGGUAGCGAACAGGAUUAGAUACCCUGGUAGUCCAUGCCGUAAACGAUGAGUGCUAGGUGUUGGAGGGUUUCCGCCCUUCAGUGCCGGAGCUAACGCAUUAAGCACUCCGCCUGGGGAGUACGACCGCAAGGUUGAAACUCAAAGGAAUUGACGGGGGCCCGCACAAGCGGUGGAGCAUGUGGUUUAAUUCGAAGCUACGCGAAGAACCUUACCAGGUCUUGACAUCUUGCGCCAACCCUAGAGAUAGGGCGUUUCCUUCGGGAACGCAAUGACAGGUGGUGCAUGGUCGUCGUCAGCUCGUGUCGUGAGAUGUUGGGUUAAGUCCCGCAACGAGCGCAACCCUUGUUACUAGUUGCCAGCAUUAAGUUGGGCACUCUAGUGAGACUGCCGGUGACAAGCCGGAGGAAGGUGGGGACGACGUCAGAUCAUCAUGCCCCUUAUGACCUGGGCUACACACGUGCUACAAUGGACGGUACAACGAGCAGCGAACUCGCGAGGGCAAGCAAAUCUCUUAAAACCGUUCUCAGUUCGGAUUGCAGGCUGCAACUCGCCUGCAUGAAGUCGGAAUCGCUAGUAAUCGCGGAUCAGCAUGCCGCGGUGAAUACGUUCCCGGGCCUUGUACACACCGCCCGUCACACCAUGAGAGUUUGUAACACCCAAAGUCGGUGGGGUAACCUUUGGAG
rnacentral:rRNA from 1 species